rnacentral:rRNA from 1 species
AGAUUGAACGCUAGCGGGAUGCUUUACACAUGCAAGUCGAACGGCAGCGCGGACUUCGGUCUGGCGGCGAGUGGAGAACGGGUGAGUAAUAUAUCGGAACGUGCCCAGUAGCGGGGGAUAACUACGCGAAAGCGUGGCUAAUACCGCAUACGAUCUACGGAUGAAAGUGGGGGAUCGCAAGACCUCAUGCUCGUGGAGCGGCCGAUAUCUGAUUAGCUAGUUGGUGGGGUAAAGCCUACCAAGGCAUCGAUCAGUAGCUGGUCUGAGAGGACGACCAGCCACACUGGGACUGAGACACCGCCCAGACCUCCGUACGGGAGCAG